UGCUCACUGGUGGUACAUUGCUAAAAUUGGAAAGACACAGGGAAGAUUAGCAUGUUCCUGGUGAAAGGGUGACAUGCAAACUCAAGAAGCAUUGAAGAUUUUU
ensembl:snRNA U6 U6 spliceosomal RNA